rnacentral:ncRNA from 1 species
CAUGUCAACACAGGAAACCUCACCUGUCCUUGACACAGGCAGGAUUGACUGGUUGAGAGCUCUUUCUCAGUUCCAUGGGUGGUGGUGCAUAACCAUUGUUAGUUGGUGGAGCGAUUUGUCUGGUUAAUUCCAAUAACGAAUGAGACUAUGGUAUGCUAACUAGUUAUGUAAAAAUUUUAUUUUUAUACAUGCUGAAUUGGUGGGCUGAGGUCAGUUGUAUAAGGCUUCACAAGGCCAACUGCCAGGACCUGCAUUUAGGUCACA